AUUGAACGCUGGCGGCAGGCCUAACACAUGCAAGUCGAGCGAGAGGCGGGCGGGGGAGUGAUAUGUGGGGACUGCCCGAUAGAGGGGGGGAACAACUGGAAACGCUGGCGAAUACCGCAUACUGUCGGAGAGCACCUAUGGGAUUAGCUAGUAGGUAAGGUAAUGGCUUACCUAGGCGACGAUCCCUAGCUGGUCUGAGAGGAUGAUCAGCCACACUGGGACUGAGACACGGCCCAGACUCCUACGGAGGCAGCAGUGGGGAAUAUUGCACAAUGGGCGCAAGCCUGAUGCAGCCAUGCCGCGUGUAUGAAGAAGGCCCUAGGGUUGUAAAGUACUUUCAGUCGGGAGGCGUUACCGACAGAAGAAGCACCGGCUAACUCCGUGCCAGCAGCCGCGGUAAUAC
rnacentral:rRNA from 1 species